rnacentral:rRNA from 1 species
GAUGAACGCUGGCGGCGUGCCUAAUACAUGCAAGUCGAGCGAACGGACGAGAAGCUUGCUUCUCUGAUGUUAGCGGCGGACGGGUGAGUAACACGUGGAUAACCUACCUAUAAGACUGGGAUAACUUCGGGAAACCGGAGCUAAUACCGGAUGAUAUUUUGAACCGCAUGGUUCAAAAGUGAAGGACGGUCUUGCUGUCACUUAUAGAUGGAUCCGCGCUGCAUUAGCUAGUUGGUAAGGUAACGGCUUACCAAGGCAACGAUGCAUAGCCGACCUGAGAGGGUGAUCGGCCACACUGGAACUAGGACACGGUCCAGACCCCUACGGGAGCCAGAAGGAGGGAAUCUUCCGCAAUGGGCGAAAGCCUGACGGAGAAACGCCGCGUGAGUGAUGAAGGUCUUCGGUUUGUAAAACUCUUUUAUUAGGGAAAAAAAUAUGUUUAAGUAACUGGGAAAAUUUUGACGGUACCUAAUCAAAAAGCCCCGGCUAACUACGU